rnacentral:rRNA from 1 species
AACGAACGCUGGCGGCAGGCUUAACACAUGCAAGUCGAACGCCCCGCAAGGGGAGUGGCAGACGGGUGAGUAACGCGUGGGAACAUACCCUUUCCUGCGGAAUAGCCCCGGGAAACUGGAAUUAAUACCGCAUACGCCCUACGGGGGAAAGAUUUAUCGGGGAAGGAUUGGCCCGCGUUGGAUUAGCUAGUUGGUGGGGUAAAGGCCUACCAAGGCGACGAUCCAUAGCUGGUCUGAGAGGAUGAUCAGCCACAUUGGGACUGAGACACGGCCCAAACUCCUACGGGAGGCAGCAGUGGGGAAUAUUGGACAAUGGGCGCAAGCCUGAUCCAGCCAUGCCGCGUGAGUGAUGAAGGCCUUAGGGUUGUAAAGCUCUUUCACCGAUGAAGAUAAUGACGGUAGUCGGAGAAGAAGCCCCGGCUAACUUCGCGCCAGCAGCCGCGGUAAAAC